ensembl:snRNA U2 U2 spliceosomal RNA
AUCGCUUCUCGGCCUUUUGGCUAAGAUCGAUUAUAAUAUGUGUUCUGGCCAACUUAAUGUCUGACGCGUCUCCUAUGGGGUGACAGUACAUUAGGUGAGUUUUUGGAACCGGAAGCUGGACUAGGAGCUUGCUUCAUCCACUCCGCGCAUCGCUCUGGUAUUGCGGUGCUUCCAGGAGCGGUGCCCCCCCC